rnacentral:rRNA from 1 species
GUGGGGAAUAUUGGACAAUGGGCGAAAGCCUGAUCCAGCAAUGCCGCGUGAGUGAUGAAGGCCUUAGGGUUGUAAAGCUCUUUUACCAGGGAUGAUAAUGACAGUACCUGGAGAAUAAGCUCCGGCUAACUCCGUGCCAGCAGCCGCGGUAAUACGGAGGGAGCUAGCGUUGUUCGGAAUUACUGGGCGUAAAGCGCACGUAGGCGGCUACUCAAGUCAGAGGUGAAAGCCCGGGGCUCAACCCCGGAACUGCCUUUGAAACUAGGUAGCUGGAAUCUUGGAGAGGUCAGUGGAAUUCCGAGUGUAGAGGUGAAAUUCGUAGAUAUUCGGAAGAACACCAGUGGCGAAGGCGACUGACUGGACAAGUAUUGACGCUGAGGUGCGAAAGCGUGGGGAGCAAACAGGAUUAGAAACCCGUGUAGUCC